UACGGAGGGUGCAAGCGUUAAUCGGAAUUACUGGGCGUAAAGCGUGCGCAGGCGGUUUGUUAAGUCCGUUGUGAAAGCCCCGAGCUCAACUUGGGAAUUGCAGUGGAUACUGGCAGGCUGGAGUACGGUAGAGGAAGGUGGAAUUCCCGGUGUAGCAGUGAAAUGCGUAGAUAUCGGGAGGAACACCAGUGGCGAAGGCGGCCUUCUGGACCAGUACUGACGCUCAUGCACGAAAGCGUGGGGAGCAAACAGG
rnacentral:rRNA from 2 species